GGGGAGGUCGUCCAGCGGAAGGACAAGUGAGGGGCCCAAAGCUGUCUCGUUCUCUUGAAAUGCGAAGGGUGGCAACUCGUUUCGCCAGUACCAUCAACUCACGAGAUGUGGUGUUCGAUUCCCACUUUCUCCA
rnacentral:tRNA from 1 species